UGAGCGUUUAUGAGGGAUUAUUCACUUUUUAAUGUCCAACUCAUUAGCAAGGGUUGUUUUCAGUUCCCAGAACUCAUUCUGGAAGUCAUAAGUGGCGGAAAAAGAUAAAAGAAAAUUCAUUUAAAACUAUUACUUUGAGGUCAAGCACUCGAGUUCAGCAUUUAAAGGACUGCUCUUUUAGUUCCAAUGAAAAAUGAAAUACAAGAAGUGCUUAAUGUUUGUCCUGAGAACCCGUGCAAUUGCAACCUUAUGGAUUCUCUGAUUCAUACUUGGUUUUGGAGUAUUGGAUAGCCUUUUGUAGCUGUUUUGGUGUUGGAUCAUGGCAUUAGAUUUGGCUUCUAGACUGUGGUGUUUUAUCUUCGGCAUUGCCCCACUGGAUAUGAUAUCUGUCUCUGUCCCCUUUGUUUUUUGAGCAGAUCAAAGAGAAAAAAG
rnacentral:misc_RNA from 1 species